UGGCGACCGGCGCACGGGUGAGUAACACGUAUCCAACCUACCCAUGACUCGGGGAUAGCCUUUCGAAAGAAAGAUUAAUACCCGAUGGUAUAUAUUUCCUGCAUGGGGAAUAUAUUAAAGAAUUUCGGUGAUGGACGGGGAUGCGUUCCAUUAGUUUGUUGGCGGGGUAACGGCCCACCAAGACUUCGAUGGAUAGGGGUUCUGAGAGGAAGGUCCCCCACAUUGGAACUGAGACACGGUCCAAACUCCUACGGGAGGCAGCAGUGAGGAAUAUUGGUCAAUGGACGAGAGUCUGAACCAGCCAAGUAGCGUGAAGGAUGACUGCCCUUUGGGUUGUAAACUUCUUUUAUAUGGGAAUAAAGUGGGGUAUGUAUACCCUUUUGUAUGUACCAUUAUGAAUAAGCAUCGGCUAACUCCGUGCCAGCAGCCGCGGUAAUACGGAGGAUGCGAGCGUUAUCCGGAUUUAUUGGGUUUAAAGGGAGCGUAGGUGGGCGAUUAAGUCAGUUGUGAAAGUUUGGGGCUCAACCUUAAAAUUGCAGUUGAUACUGAUUGUCUUGAGUGCGUUAAAGGUGGGCGGAAUUCGUGGUGUAGCGGUGAAAUGCUUAGAUAUCACGAAGAACUCCGAUUGCGU
rnacentral:rRNA from 1 species